UAUGCAUUUGUGGCCUAGCUGUGCUCUGUAGUGUGGCCUGGGUCCCAAGAGGACUUGAUAGGGCUCUCCCACUGCCCUUUAGUCCUGGCGUGGAAAGCAACAUGAGGCCGGCUGUGGGGAGCUGUGCAAGCCUCCGUGACAGGGGAGUGGGACAGUGUGGCCAGGAGAUGGGCUCCGGACUGUCCAGUCCGGAUGUGCAGGGGCUGGGCUGGCUCAGGACUUCUGCAGCCUCUGUACGCUUCUGUUUCUGGUGCAUACUUCUGUGUCCACCCACUGUCAGCCUUCUGCUACUGUUAUAAAUACCCGAGAUACUCGCCUUAGAGAGAGGAGAAGUUUAUUUUGGCUCAAGCCUCCCAAGUUCUGAGAUUACAGGGGUGCACCACCGUGCCCGGCUUGGAUCGCAGUUUUGGAGGACCCUGUGGGACAUUGGAGAGAGGCUGAGACACCCAAGAGCCAUCACGAGAUAGAGGUUUGUGACACAGAAUGCAGUGGACGGAAGGAGAGGUUCUCCUCCUGCUUUUGUGCCUUGGAACUGUGUGACCUCAAGCACGGUCCUGACCUCGUUGCUGUCCCCUGUAAAAUGGGACCUCAGGCGCCCCCUGGAAGGAGUGUAUGAGAACAGAGACCAGCGACACAGAACCCGUGCUUCAGCCAACCCAGAUCAUUCCAACAGCACAAAAGGCAGCCACCGUUAGAGGAAAAGCUGCCCCUGAACUUGGGAAAGUCCCUGUCAUGCAAAAGAGUAAUGUAGUCUCUGAGAUUUUAUUAAUUUUUGUAGUGUGGAGGUGUUAGUAGAUGAUUUUAAAAUUCUGCUUUCCUAAGUAGACGGCACCGGAUGCCCCAAUUUCCACAAAUAAAACCCUUCAUUUCUCCCAGGUUUGAAUAGGCAAAGGCUGCCUCCCUGGAGACAGCACGGCUAAUAUUUUUGAUCGACAUUAGAACUCUAUUUAAGGAGUGUACCUUUUCCAGAGAAGCAAAUGAUAAACUUUUUGCCCCUUUAAGAGUGAGAAGCAGGAGGGAGAAGAGACUGUAGAAAGAAACUCCCCAGGUGGGCUGUUUGCAGAAGUACAUGUAUUUUUUUUUUUUUUCACCUUUUUAAAUCAAAAGCAGACUUUGCUGCUGAAAAUCUGGAGAAGGAUGGUUUAAAAGUCGGUGCAUGGUGCAAAUAAAAUCCCUGGGCUGGCCCUGAGCUGACAUUCACUGCAGCAGCGACCCAGUUUUAAUUUAAUUGUGCAUCUAUUGUCUUCCUGUGCAGCUGACACGGAGAACUAGCUGUUUCCCAAGGACUGUGUCUGUGCUUUGAAUUUAUUACCUCCCUUCAUCGAGCAACCCUUUGAAGUGUAGGAACUGUGAUCAUUCUGAUGCUUAUUGGUGAGGAGACUAAGGGGAGAAAGUGCAGUACCAUCCCCAAGGCCACAUCUGCUGGAGUUCAGCCACGAAGGGGCUCAUGCCCUGAUACUGUACAGAAGCUGGGUCUGGUCUUUCCGCUCCACAGCAGCAGCCUUCGGCACGUUGAAUGGGCACAAGUCACUGAGCAGGACUGGUCCAGUUAGAGACACCCUGGGAAGUGCCCCGUGGUGCCCCUGUCCCUGUCGUUCCAGCCUAGGCACCAUGCAGACGUGAGAAGCCACGUCAGCCCAGGAGAGCUCUUGGGUGACCUCAGCUCCAGGAACCAUCUGACCGGAAAUGCGUGCGAGACCCCCCAAUUGUGGAAGAGCCUGUGCUGCUAUUGUGAGCCUUAUCUACACAGUGCUGGCCCCCCAGCACCCCGAGCUCUCCUCUCUGUCUCUGGGCGUCCUGGUCCUGGCUGUCCCAUCUCCCUCAGAGGUCCCACUGCGUACCCGUUUCCU